UUACUUGUGUAAUUAUGUUUUCAUUAUAUACUUUAUCAAUAAAGUUGUUGCACAUUAUCCAGAACUUGUUUGAUUGUUGUCACUUAUUCACUUACUGUUGUCAAAUUUAAGGUGUUUUUUUUAUUUUGAUAUACAGUUUUCUUGUUAAUUUUAGUCCAAUCAACUCAGCCUUCCACUGUUUUAGUUUUAGUUCCAUCUACAUCUGAAACAGUUGUUUCAUCAACAUCUACCACAUUUAGAAAGUUUAAAAGCUAUUUCUUUGUUCACUUUGUAUGUAAUAUGUGUAUGUAAGGCCAAUUUCUAAUACUUUUUUACUU
rnacentral:lncRNA from 1 species